UGGGAUGAACCUGUAUCACUUGGGUUCGCUGGGAUGAACCUGUAUCAACACUGUUCGCGGGCUCCAUUGACACGUGGCGAUCCGUAAUUGGUUGCUUUAUUGAAAUUUUUUUUUUCAAAAAAAUCAAACGAAAAGAAAAUUAUAAUAAUAAAAAGUGGAUUUUGGGAAGAGUUCACCAAUGGGGGGUGCUCUUAUCCAAUAAAUAUUUACUCCGGCUUAAUUUGACCUAAACUCUCAGACACAAUCAUCGCCCUCCAGUUUUUCAUUAAAUAUUUUUUUUUUUUUUUUUUUUUGGAGAAAGUUUUUUUUUUUUUUUUUUUUACAAAGGCUACAGCUCGGAUUUAAGUAAAAUUCGGUACAACAAUGAAAUUAGUAGAUCUAACUAUUCGGACUACACAGCCAAGUUGUGGGCGCAACUCCGGGUCCUUUCGUCAUCACCACCUCUUUCACGUUAAUCCGGUUAGGAGCAGAAGCAUCCCACUCUCUUCGUUGCUGGAGCCUCUGUAGUCUUUGAAGCGCUAGUAGAAGGGAGGUUGAUUAACAUACCUGAUGACUUUUGUAAAAACUCCAGGCGCAACCUCCGGAAUGACACAAACGACGGUAAAGAAGCCUCCACACCGCUGCCAAGAGAACGGGAAAGACUCCACCACAACAAACUGACAAAAAACGGGUUCGAGACGACAACAUCCUAAGACCCGAGAGAGCUCCAAGACCUGCAAGAAGUGUUAGCCUAAUAACGCUGCUGUGGUGUUCAAGUGAACCACCACCAACACUGGGAAGCGCUACCACGCCAUGAGGAGCCACUGAGGGAGGUGGAAGCCCGGAGACAAACCAAAGCCACCAACUUCCUCGCCAAAUGCCGUUCUCGAGAACCGAGAGACGAUUACUUCUCAAUGUCUAAAUGAUGUCCGGUGACAAACGGACACUCAACCGAAGAUAAGCACAGG
rnacentral:lncRNA from 1 species